GAGAGAGCUGUUUAGAGAAGAGCGGUGACAACAGUUCCCUUGAAAGAGGAGCCAAGAAGAAAGAACAGCAAGAAAACAGACAAAGCUCAGAGAUCUGUGGAUCAUUCAACAGAAAAGACAGAAAGACUGUAAGAGCCAGAAGAUGGAGAGAAAGGCUAUGCAACUCUAUCUUCUAGAUCAGCGACCUGAAACUGGAUUGGAGUCAAGUGAUGUCAGGUUUAAUGUUGGCUCUGCCCCUAAUGAGCUCUGUGAUCUUGGCCCUGAGUCGUUACUUAUCUUGAAGGAUUUUCCCAGAAGGAAAGCGGAAAAGACAAGGUGAGUAAGGACUUUGGA